UGCAAUGCGAAGGUCGGCACGCUCGUCCCAAUGGCAAAAAGUUGGAAGGGCCGCUCCUGUGUUUCCUUCCUCCAUGUUCCAAACUUCCAAAAAUGCGGCGCAUGGGAGGGGUGCGCCUGACGUGGUCGUUAUAAUCUAGUAGGUCGUGCUUUGAACUUGAGCUCCGACGCACGGAAAAUUGGAAAAAGCGGUUGUAAACCCUGAUAGGAAGCGUCUCCGUCUCCCUAUACAUCGUAUAAUUCCUGUUCUAACUUCAGAUGUCCAAACAGACAAGACUCAAGGAGGAUUAUCCCUCCUCUCAACCGAUACCAAAGCCGCAUAAGCUUCUUGAAGCGAAUUGUGCAGCGACACACCCACAUUGGGGUCACCAGUCUCUUGGAGCUGUCGCAAGAAAAGACGCAGACCUUCUCUCAGAAGGUGCAGCUUGGGUGAAAUGCGUGAGAACACCCUGCGAAUGACGUCGUUCGUUUCACUGGUCAACAUGUUGAUGAACAGUUGGCGCAGGAAUCUCAACAGGCUUGGGCUCAUGUCCACAAAUUGCACAUUCUGCAGUGUGAAAUUGAGACAUUUCUGCUGGGUAGAAUACAUCGUUUUUGGAUGGGGGAUUUUGAUGAGAACACACCUUGAGGGCAGCAAGAGAAAGCACAUCUUGACAGAGUAGGGUCUUGAAAAACAGGGCAAGGUUUGAUGACUCUGUCUGUGAAAUGUGUUCUAGCUCCUUCAUCUUGUCCCAUAUAGCACACUGCAGGCUCAU